AAAUACCUGCCUGCCUCUGAGACAUUGUAUGAUGAUAAAAUGGUUGGAUCACCAGGAAUUCAUAGCAGUUACAAUUAUGAGUAUAUAAAAAUUAUCAGAAGCUAAGUCUGACUGUAAUGAACAAGCAAAUCCAUGGGUCCAGUAGAAAACUUGGUUUCUCAACAAUAGACAAAAUAACUAUGGAAAACCACUAAGAACGUGGAUGCACUCAGCAAUAUAUCAUUCAGCUGGCUCUAACCAGCAGACAUAGAACAGCUCAACAGCAUAAAGCCAGAAACUGGAAACAACUGAAGAAUGGAAAGAAAGAAACAAACCAACAAAAAACAAACCAUGUGGUUCAUUUAGACAAUGAAAUACUACCCAACAAUUAAAAACAAGGACAUCAUGAAAUUUGCAGGCAAAUGGAUGGAUCUAGAAAGUAUCACCCUGAGUAAGACAGAAGCCUAGCAUGUCUCUACUAUGAAAGGCUCCAUCCAGCAAGUUCCUGAAAUACAUGCAGACACCCACAGUCAAACAUUACACAGAGCUUGAGAAGUCUUGUGGAAGAGUUGGAGGAAGGAUUGAGGGACCCAAAGAGGAUAAGAACUCUACAAGAAGACCAACAAACUCAACUAAUCUAGACACUUGUGGGCUCCCUGAGAUUGAACCAUCAACCAAAGAACAUACAAGAGCUGGACCUAGGCACCCUAUAUGUCUGUAGCAGAUGUGCAACUUGGUUCUCCCAUCAACUGGAGCAAGGGCUUACUCUGACUGUUGCCUCCCUCUGGAUCCUAUUCUCCUAACUGGGCUGUCUUGUCUGGCCUUAGUGGGAGAGGGUGUACCUAGUUUUACAAUGGCUUGAGGUGCCAGGGUGGGAAAACAUCCCCUUCUCAGAGGUGAAGGGGAAAGGGGAUAGAUGCCAUGUGAGGGGAAAAAUAGGAGGACAGAGGGGUCCUAUGAAUGGGAUGUAAAGUGAAUAAAUAAACUAAUGGAAAACAUUUAAAAAUAAAACUAUUAUAAAGGCCCAUCAAUAGGAUAAAUUAGUGUACAACUGGUUCCCAAGCCCAGGGUUUUACACUUAGUAGUCUAGCAAUACUACCACUUAGAUAAACAACCAACCCCUUGGGCUUAGGUCCUUUUUUCUUUGAUUUGGAUCUCAAAUUUAUUGUGUGCUUUUCUAAAAUCUUUCCCUUUAAAUAUAAAAUUUUGCACAUGAGACUCAGGGGAUUCAUACAGUCUGCUGGACGAAAAGUAUAGAUCUCUAAUUACUUCCUCACUAUCUGUUGAAAAAGCUGCCUUUCUUCUAUCGAGUUGCUUUCCUGCCUGUGUGGCAAUCGGUGGGUCCAUUUCUGUGUCUAUUUCUGGGUUAUCUAGUCUAUUUCAUUGAUCCAUGUUUUUAUGUUCCACGAACACCAUAGACUUAAUUACUACAACUUAACUUAUUAACACCAACUUAAUUACUACAGUUGUAUAAGUUUGGAAACAACGGAAUCCUUUCAUUUCUUUUAAAAAAUUAUUUUAGCUUCCUGCAGAAAAUCUUUCUGGAUAUUGCAUUAAACAUACAUGUUUAUGGGAGGAGAAAUUAUUCUUUUACUAUGUUGAUUUUUUAUGUGUGUGUGUGUAUGUGCACAUGUGUGCCAGUCCCACAGAGGCCAGAAGAGAGCAUGAAUCCCCUGAAACUAGAGUUACACAUGGUUGGAAAUUGUCAUGUGGAUGCUGGGAAUCAAACCUGGGUCCUCUGUAAGAGCAGCAGAUGCUCUUAUCUGCUGAGCCAUCUCUCUAGUCCCCACCCCUUUUGGAUUACUUUUGAUUAUCAUUUGUAAGGAAUAAGUAAGUUUCUUAUAGAUAGAAUAUUAUUGCCAUUAUUUACAACUGCCUAUAUAAUGC
rnacentral:lncRNA from 1 species